UGGGGAAUAUUGGACAAUGGGCGCAAGCCUGCUCCAGCCAUGCCGCGUGUGUGAAGAAGGCCUCUUGGUUGUAAAGCACUUUAAGCGAGGAGGAGGCUACUUGGAUUAAUACUCUAGGAUAGUGGACGUUACUCGCAGAAUAAGCACCGGCUAACUCUGUGCCAGCAGCCGCGGUAAUACAGAGGGUGCGAGCGUUAAUCGGAUUUACUGGGCGUAAAGCGUGCGUAGGCGGCUUCUUAAGUCGGAUGUGAAAUCCCUGAGCUUAACUUAGGAAUUGCAUUCGAUACUGGGAAGCUAGAGUAUGGGAGAGGAUGGUAGAAUUCCAGGUGUAGCGGUGAAAUGCGUAGAGAUCUGGAGGAAUACCGAUGGCGAAGGCAGCCAUCUGGCCUAAUACUGACGCUGAGGUACGAAAGCAUGGGGAGCAAACAGG
rnacentral:rRNA from 1 species